rnacentral:ncRNA from 1 species
CAGAGUAGAAAGCUUCGCGUUAAGUGCCAUGGGGACGGAGAGUUGCCCCGCGGACGAAAAGCAGGAGAAAUCCAUCGCUUGCGGUGAAGCUUUCGCAUCUCGCUG